rnacentral:rRNA from 1 species
AUGUACCCAAGGAUAGCGCUUUUUGAGCACGAGCCGAUGAAGAAGAUGAUUGAUAUCACAUCAGUAAACAUGGGUGGAGGAGAAAUAUCAUUUCACGGGGCAUCGGCUGAACAAAACGUCAGCAAAGGUAUUGUCUGCGCAUCAACCGAGCUUGCAAAUGAAAACAUUCCGAGGCAUUCUAAUACGACGAAACGAGUCCAGAUGCCAUCUGCGCCUAUUUUAAGAGGUACUUACAAUAAAAUUGGUCCACAAGAUUUCUCAAACCACAUACAUACAAACUAUCCAUCAAUAUCCGGUGAGAAGCUCGGGAUACUUCUCCGUGAGCACAAUGCUCGAGGUCUGGCAAACAUUUCAGAGAUGAGGCAGUCUUUCCAGUCAUCAAUGUUCACAUUUGCGGACAAGCUCAUCAACUGCAUCGCUGAGAAUUGUUCUUGUUGCAAGGCCAACGGACGUAAACAAUGCAUCCUGAAGAGUGAAAAUCAAAACAGUUGCACCAACUUGGCCAACACUCCUAUGCAAGAAAAAAUAGACAAUUCGUUUGUUACCCCUAUUUGCAACAAGGUUUCUCCCAGGCUGGCUGGACAACUCCCAAACGACGGUAGCUCGUCGGCCAAUAGCUCCAUUGCAAGGAAGAGGGGAGUUGUGUUCAGCCCGGCCAUCCAGACGGAAUCAUCAAAAAAGGUGUAUCUUCGGCUGGACGACCCACUCCAAGCAGUUUCCCAUUCAGCAGUAGAUACUGUCAACAACUCAUCUCUGUCUGCGAAGCAAGACACUCGCCGAGAGGUUGCCAAUACGAUUUAUUCAUUCUUUGAUGACCUGACUGCUAGCAUAGUCACGUACUAUGCCGAGCAACGACUGAGCUCUGGAUAUGUUACAUUCGGAACUACAAACGACACCAUGCCAGCCAAAAUUCGGAUAACAAAGUGCAACAUCGCCCGCGACCCAUGGGCAAUCGGUUCAGUUCCGAUGCCGCCGGCAGUCCCAGUCCUUAGAGCCAUAAAAGAUUGGUUGGCUGUGUCAUCCACAUUCGUCCUUGAAAGGAAAUGGAUUAUGCAUCCAAAACCAAGACUCAUACUGCUCGAUGGCAUUGAAAUCCAACAACAACUAUCAGGAAAAGAACAACUUAGUCAUGAGAUGUGUGCUGUUAUUUUUAGGAGGCUUUCACAGAUGGACAAGACCUAUUCGAAGGACACUUUGACUAUGUUUUGGAGGAAGUUUCUUGAGCCUGAUUUCGCCACCCCAGUUUUAUCUAAUGCCGAUCCAUUGACCAUCCAGUCGAUCCGUGCAACAUUUACAGAAGAAAACGAGUUUUUCAGCCCAGCCUCUAGUCGGAUGUGGCAUAUACCUCCACUCCUACCGGACGGAUGGGCCGUCUACGCAUUCGACAUGGCCAGGCGAAGGAUUUUAGUACUAGACCCGGCCGUCGGCCCAUUUGGUUUUAGCAAUAGAAGGAUCAACAUGCACACAUAUGUGUCUGACCUACUUCACGCUGCACUCUUCAGAUGCAUCCAAUCUUUAUAUGAUUCCUGGCACUGCAGUUCCGGAGAAUGGACCCGUGCAUUUCCUGUGAUAUCACGGGCAUCCCUUGUCCAUCGCUUCAAUAUGUGCUUUUCUGGUAUCUUGCUCAACUUGAGCUUGAUCAUAACCUGCUGA